GCGAGGUGAGUAUGUCUGGCUGCUGCCUGAUGGAGGAGGAUACUACUGAGAACGGUAUUACAUCAUUAACGUCAAGGAGAAGGAGGAGCUCCUGGGCUCUUGUUCCUUAUGUGCCCAGAUGGGAUUAGCUAUUAGGUGGGGGACGGCUCCCCAGGCGACGAUCCCCCUCUGGUCUGAGACUCAGAACGACCACUCUGGAAAUGAGACACAGUCCAUACUCCCCCCGGAGGGAGC
rnacentral:rRNA from 1 species